AAAGAUUAAGCCAUGCAUGUCUAAGUUCAAGCAAACUUAACGUGGAACCUGCAAUGGGUCAUUAUAUCCAUUUAGGUUCAAUUUAUCACACUUACUACUUGUGUAUAAGUGGGAAUUCUCUAGAUAAACAUGCGCUGGAAUCCCACCCUCCUGGAAAGAGUGCUUUUAUUGAUCAAAACCAAUCUGGCCUUUUGGUUCUUGUUGAUGGUGGAUCUGUUUAACUUUGCUGAGGGCAUGGGCCCGCGACGGCUACUUCUCUCUUCUGUGCCAGCCUUAUUAAAUGGCAAGAGAAUGUUAUACCCCGACUUCGGUUG
rnacentral:rRNA from 1 species